CUACGGGGUGCACCAGUGGGGAAUAUUGGACAAUGGGCGGAAGCCUGAUCCAGCAAUGUCGCGUGUACGAAGAAGGCCUUAGGGUUGUAAAGCUCUUUCGCCAGGGAUGAUAAUGACAGUACCUGGUAAAGAAACCCCGGCUAACUCCGUGCCAGCAGCCGCGGUAAUACGGAGGGGGUUAGCGUUGUUCGGAAUUACUGGGCGUAAAGCGCGCGUAGGCGGGCUGUUAAGUCAGAGGUGAAAUCCCGGGGCUCAACCCCGGAACUGCCUUUGAUACUGGCAGCCUGGAGUUCGAGAGAGGUGAGUGGAAUUCCGAGUGUAGAGGUGAAAUUCGUAGAUAUUCGGAGGAACACCAGUGGCGAAGGCGGCUCACUGGCUCGAUACUGACGCUGAGGUGCGAAAGUGUGGGGAGCAAACAGGAUUAGAUACCCGAGUAGUC
rnacentral:rRNA from 1 species